AUGCACGCUGGCGGCGUGCCUAAUACAUGCAAGUCGAGCGAACAGACGAGGAGCUUGCUCCUCUGACGUUAGCGGCGGACGGGUGAGUAACACGUGGAUAACCUACCUAUAAGACUGGGAUAACUUCGGGAAACCGGAGCUAAUACCGGAUAAUAUAUUGAACCGCAUGGUUCAAUAGUGAAAGACGGUUUUGCUGUCACUUAUAGAUGGAUCCGCGCCGCAUUAGCUAGUUGGUAAGGUAACGGCUUACCAAGGCAACGAUGCGUAGCUGACCUGAGAGGGUGAUCGGCCGCACUGGAACUGAGACACGGUCCAGACUCCUACGGGAGGCAGCAGUAGGGAAUCUUCCGCAAUGGGCGAGAGCCUGACGGAGCAACGCCGCGUGAGUGAUGAAGGUCUUCGGAUCGUAAAACUCUGUUAUUAGGGAAGAACAAAUGUGUAAGUAACUAUGCACGUCUUGACGGUACCUAAUCAGAAAGCCACGGCUAACUACGUG
rnacentral:rRNA from 1 species